UGCGGCGCGUCCUCUGCCUCCUUUCUCUUCCCCCAGCCUCCAAAAAUCGGCGGUCUCUGUUUUUUUCCGCCGCCGGUCGCCGGUCGUCUCCUGGGGCCAGAUCCGGCCGCACCUUCGCUGGAUCCAGACGCCUCCUUGCCGAAUCUGGGCGGGGCGCCCCUCUCUCAGCUAGGGUCGCGCUCCCCAGAGCCUUCCUCCCAACCCAGCACCGAGCCCUCCGCCCUCAAACCCUAGCGCGCGAGAGACCCUCGCCCCCAUGGAGCCCCCUGAGCCGGAGAGGGAGCCGGGGAUCACAUCGCCGUCGAGCUCGAGCUCCAGGUCUGAAAAAUAAGCCAUGAGAAAAAUAACAUUGCUUGUCUCAGUUUGAAAUUUCUGAAUUGUCUGAAAUGCACACUAUACCAUGCUACUUUAUUCCAAUGAGAAGUUAAUGCUACUUUAUACUGCCGCUGGGUGAGGUGAGGCCGCAGCGGACGAGGCGCGAAGCCGGGCGGGGUGCACGCCAGUGAUGAUACGGGAGGUAGACGGAUGCCGAGCCCCGAAAGAUGCGAGUCAAGGCCACCAAGGAGAUGUAAGGUUUGAAACCCUCCCUGUGCAUAUGAUGCUUUUCCAUUUGAUUGAUGCACUACUUUUUCGUUCAAUUGAUAUGGUCCACAUUUGAAGUAUGGUCGUGGUAUAAAAAAAGCAUUGAUUUAUAGCUAGUUAUAUGUGAUGAUUUGCUUGAAAUGAUGCAGCCAAUCUCAUAUAUUCAGAUAUGGAGCUUCCUGUCAGCAUUCUUGGCGGGUCACCAACCAAUGUGGAUGUCAUUUGCUUGGUUCAUUUGGCACUUCGAUCAAAGCUUCAGUUAGCAUCUUCUAAAUGCAUCAGAUGCAUAAAAGGCUGGGGCGCACUGCGGAGAAACCUCCAGCUGGGGGCGCGGCCAGCGGCGCCGCCUCCAACACCGGCCGGCGGAGCGGCCUCCACCAGGACACUCUAUUUUUUUUGUCAUGAAACAAUUUAAAAUUGUUCGACCAUCUAAUCCCAAUAUAUUCUGAUGCCACCAAGUCAUGAAUAAUUUCUUUAAUACCAGUUACCUGUACAGCGCGAGUGAGCUAUUUUCCUGUUUUUACAGAAUUGACCAUGUAACCUGAUUACAUCAGUUAACUGAUGAGCAUUGUAUUCUUUCAAUUGUAAAUAUAAUAUUACAGAAUUAAACUUUUUU